GUGCCAGCAGCCGCGGUAAUACCGGCAGCUCAAGUGGUCGUCGUUUUUAUUGGGCCUAAAACGUCCGUAGCCUGUUUGGUAAAUCUGUGGGUAAAUCAACCAGCUUAACUGGUUGAAUUCUGCAGAGACUGCCGGACUAGGGACCGGGAGAGGUGUGGGGUACUCUAGGGGUAGGGGUAAAAUCCUGUCAUCCUUAGAGGACCACCAGUUGCGAAGGCGCCACACUGGAACGGAUCCGACGGUCAGGGACGAAGCCUAGGGGCACGAACCGGAUUAGAUACCCGGGUAGCCCUAGGUGUAAACGCUGUGAACUUGGUGUCGGGGAUCCGUAAUGGGUUCUCGGUGCCGGAGUGAAGAUGUUAAGUUCACUGCCUGGGGAGUACGGUCGCAAGGAUGAAACUUAAAGGAAUUGGCGGGGGAGCACUGCAACGGUAGGAGCGUGCGGUUUAAUUGGAUUCAACGCCGGAAAACUCCCAAGGCCGACUGUUAUAUGAAUAUUAUGUAAUGAGCUUAUCGGAUUUUCUGAGAGGUGGUGCAUGGCCGUCGUCUUUUCGUACUGUAAAGUGUUCUGUUAAUUUAAAUAACGAAUAAGACCCGCAUCUUUUUUUGCUAUCUCAUCCCCCGGAAUGGGCUCAUUAUAGAGAGACCGUUGGUGUGAAUCUUAAGAAUGUGAGGUCACUACAGGUUAGUUCGCCCCGAUUGUUUUUGGUUAC
rnacentral:rRNA from 1 species